GCACGGACUUUACCGUGCAGGGUGAGAACCUGCUGCAGGUUCGACUGAAUCGCCGGGAGCGAUUCAGGCUGAUGCGACAGCAUCACUCGCAGGGCGAGGCUAUCCUGCACGACCCACCA
rnacentral:sRNA from 1 species